ACAGAACAGAUUACUCCCAGAGCUACACGAUGCACAUCAAUAACACUUAUACAAUAACAACAGAGUGCAAGUUGAAAAAACAUUUAGUAAAAAACAAGUGUCAUGUGACUUUCUGUCUCGGAGCGGGAGUGGGCGGAGCUUCACUGUUUCAAUAAAUGGACAGAAAAAGACGUUUGAGGCUCAACGCUGUUCAUGAAACGUUGUAAACAGACAAAAAUAAAUGGACCCGUUAAAGUUACCGGUGUAAAGCCGUUUCAUCCGGGCCGCUCUGACACGAUUAUUCCUCUUUACUGCAGUUUUAUUCGCCAAGAAACUCGCGCAGUCAGACGACCAGACGGCGGGAAACAAACCGGGUUCUUCAGGUGAUCGAAACCUCUUCGUGUAGAGGGCGAUGUGAGAGCGCCGCAGUGACGGCAGCAGGUCAGAGCGGAAGCAGGAAGUCCUCGUGAACUGUGGCUGCAUCCCCAGUGUCCUAACUGCAUCCACGCUUUCUUGCGCUUUUUUCCUUGGAAAUCCACGGAGGAGCGAGGAAACCAGGAAAUGCGUUUGGUGCGCUGGUGUCUGCACACGUGCGCUACUAAAGGCCCACAGUCAUCACUGUUACCUGUUUCACAAACACCUGCGCGUGAAGAACGGGCCGCAGUUCAUUACUGAAGAACUAGAAAACUGCAAUGAUGUAACUCGGAUCAAACCUCAGGAAUUAUCGGCCGCAUCACUACAAAUGAUUCUCCUCCUGACUUUAACUGCGUCCAUAAGAAAAGUUAACAAACAGACCCUGAAAAGAAAAGGCUCUCUGAUAGAUUGAAGUUGUUCGCGCUCGUUUUGUUUUUAACUAGAUGUUGAAUCAGAAAACACAUCGAGUAUAAAACCUGACGCACUCUUUAAUCUGUCUCCACUCCGCUACGAAACUGCAGCGCCGAUCAGCUGCAGCGUCCAAUCAGUAACCGAUAACCGAUAAGGGGGCGUGUCGGCCUGUAAAAGACUUCCGCGCAGGCUGCUCUCGCGCCUCCUCGCUCCUCGGAGCACAAAUAAGACACUUGGGACGGCCUGCAAGAUGGCGGACCACAACGACUUCCUGUUCGAGCGAGGAAAUAUCAAACGACAGACGUGGGAUGCAGCUCGUGUCACCGAGUUCACAGAUCUCAGGGACAAACAAACAGGAAGAGGUUUCAGGUACCAGGACCAGGACCUGCUGACAGAUUCCUGUUUUCAUGUUUCCCAGCGACAUCACACGCAUACGAUGUUGGUUACCGCAGCAACGCAGCGACGAUAACAACCUGUCUGUUAGCUGUUAGCCGAGUCGCGUGGAGGCUCAGACUCAGUCCUGUCAGACCGUGCUGAGGGCUGGGCUCAUAAAGCGUGUUGUGUUACUAUGACAACCGGCAGCUGUGAGUUGUGAUGUCAUUAGCUGAUAAUAACUGCACAUUAAACAGUUUAUAAUACGA